rnacentral:lncRNA from 1 species
GCGGGGCCCAAGUCAGUAAAUAAAGUCCAUCAAAACCAACCCAAGAAGAAGGACAAAGAAGUCAUUUACACAUAGGCGGGUGAGCUUAGCAAGGAAGGGGUUACAAGAUGGAAGCACAUGUCAUCUUCAUUUCAACACGUUGCAGCUUCAUUCUUUUCAUAUUGUAAACAUGAUACAUUUGCUUUCUUCUAGAAGUAAGCACAUGCUUCUCAUGUAAGCCAUGUCCAUCACACACCGCCGAGGGGUUCAUCUAUAAAACCCACUUUGGCAUCAACUUGUAAACACCUUUGGAUUUUGAGAGAAUUGAAAUCCUGAUGUACUUUCCAGCCUUUUCUCCACCAAGAGUCAACAACCUUCUGCUUCCUUCCAUUUUUCCUCUAGCUUCCUUCCAAGGAGAAGGCCUUCUGAGUUAGAUUCCACCACCACCGAAGCAUCUCCUGCAUCACCUUUUCAUCAUUCACAUACGUUGCUACAGAGUUUAUCUUUGUUUCAACCAAUUCCUUUUCCACUGCCAAUACAGUCUUAGUACAUCUCACCGUCCAUUCAUAAACAGCACCACUAUAGACUCGUUUCCUCUACUGUUCACUGUCCAUUCAUCAACAUCCUCGCUGCAUAACUUUAUCCUCUCUGUAGUUCAUCACCGUAAGCCAUAGUGCAUACCUCUGCUUACUUUGUCUUUUGUCUGCUGCUGUUACCAUCAUCUUCCAA